UAGCCGUAAACGAUACUCGCUAGGUGUCGGCCACGGUGCGACCGUUGUCGGUGCCGUAGGGAAGCCGUGAAGCGAGCCACCUGGGAAGUACGGCCGCAAGGCUGAAACUUAAAGGAAUUGGCGGGGGGAGCACCACAACGGGUGGAGCUUGCGGUUUAAUUGGAUUCAACGCCGGAAAUCUUACCGGGACCGACAGCAACAUGAAGGCCAGGCUGAAGACUUUGCCGGAUUAGCUGAGAGGUGGUGCAUGGCGUAGACGUCU
rnacentral:rRNA from 1 species